rnacentral:rRNA from 1 species
UACGAAGGGGGCUAGCGUUGUUCGGAAUUACUGGGCGUAAAGCGCGCGUAGGCGGAUGUUUAAGUGUCUUGUGAAAUCCCACGGCUCAACCGUGGAACUGCUGGGCAUACUGGACAUCUCGAGGCACUCAGGGGCGAGCGGAACAAGUGGUGGAGCGGUGAAAUGCGCAGAUAUCAGGAGGAACACCAAUGGCGAAGGCAGCUCGCUGGGACGGUACUGACGCUGAGACGCGAAAGCGUGGGGAGCAAACAGG